GAGGGUACAGCUCAGUGGUAGAGCAUAUGCUUAGCAUGCACAAGGUCCUGGGUUCAAUCCCCAGUACCUCCA
rnacentral:tRNA from 1 species